rnacentral:rRNA from 1 species
CCGGUGCCAGCCGCCGCGGUAAUACCGGCUGCUCGAGUGAUGGCCACUAUUACUGGGUUUAAAGCGUCCGUAGCUUGACUGUUAGGUCUCUUGGGAAAUCUUCACGCUCAACGUGAAGGCGUCUAAGAGAUACCGGCAGUCUUGGAACUGGGAGAGGUAAACCGUACUUCGGGGGUAGGAGUGAAAUCUUGUAAUCCUCGAGGGACGACCUAUGGCGAAGGCAGUUUACCAGAACAGCUUCGACAGUGAGGGACGAAAGCUGGGGGAGCAAACGGGAUUAGAUACCCCGGUAGUCCCAGCCGUAAACAAUGUGCGUUAGGUGUGUCGGUAACCACGUGUUACUGAUGCGCCGAAGAGAAAUCGUGAAACGCACCACCUGGGAAGUACGGUCGCAAGGCUGAAACUUAAAGGAAUUGGCGGGGGAGCACCACAACAGGUGGAGCCUGCGGUUUAAUUGGAUUCAACGCCGGACAUCUCACCGGAUAAGACAGCUGAAUGAUUGUCAAUCUGAAGGUUUUACAUGACUAGCUGAGAGGAGGUGCAUGGCCGUCGUCAGUUCGUACUGUGAAGCAUCCUGUUAAGUCAGGCAACGAGCGAGACCCACGCCGACAAUUGCCAGCAGCAUCUCCGGAUGGCUGGGGACAUUGUCGGGACCGCCUCUGCUAAAGGGGAGGAAGGAAUGGGCAACGAGCGAGACCCA